GAUGAACGCUGGCGGCGUGCCUAAUACAUGCAAGUCGAGCGAACAGACGAGGAGCUUGCUCCUCUGACGUUAGCGGCGGACGGGUGAGUAACACGUGGAUAACCUACCUAUAAGACUGGGAUAACUUCGGGAAACCGGAUCUAAUACCGGAUAAUAUAUUGAACCGCAUGGUUCAAUAGUGAAAGACGGUUUUGCUGUCACUUAUAGAUGGAUCCGCGCCGCAUUAGCUAGUUGGUAAGGUAACGGCUUACCAAGGCAACGAUGCGUAGCCGACCUGAGAGGGUGAUCGGCCACACUGGAACUGAGACACGGUCCAGACUCCUACGGGAGGCAGCAGUAGGGAAUCUUCCGCAAUGGGCGAAAGCCUGACGGAGCAACGCCGCGUGAGUGAUGAAGGUCUUCGGAUCGUAAAACUCUGUUAUUAGGGAAGAACAAAUGUGUAAGUAACUAUGGACGUCUUGACGGUACCUAAUCAGAAAGCCACGGCUAACUACGUG
rnacentral:rRNA from 1 species